rnacentral:lncRNA from 1 species
CCAGGGGAAGCGAUCCGCGGCCCACAGAGCCGCUCGGGGUAGCCGAACCCCGACUCCGGUUCACGCUCGGCCGGCGCCGCACGCCGUGGCUCGGCGCUUUCCGUGCAUGAGGCGGGAGGGGGCGGCAGGAACUCUCGACGCCCCGGGCAGACAGGAGCCCCGCAACCCCGCUGUCUUUGCCCCACGCCUGGGGUGUUGCGGGGUCGCCGUGCCCUUGGCCGAGUACCCUGAGUACCACAUAAACAGCUGGGAAGGAGCGGAGCGAUGGCUUCCUGGGCCUCUUCCUCCUGCCCGGAGGCUCCCUCAGGCCGGGGUCCUGGCUUGAAGCCCCUGGGACGGGACGGUGGGGGGUUUCGUUCUGUGACGCCCCGUUAACCUCAUUCUGGAAUCUUGAUAAGCUUAAAAAUACCGGAGGGCCCGAGAGGUUUGGGGGACAACAGGCUCUCUGAAGUGGAAACGAGGUCUCUAAAAUUUUCCAUCUUUCUGUCAGUGUUUCUUUCCAGAGUUGGAGAUAUAUAUAUGGGUGUUAUGAAUAAACGAAUGACUUGAAUUGAGCAGCAAGAUUUUUCACUCAAGGACAAAACACGACUGGAAGAUGUGUCUUAAUUGGCAUACUAGUGGAGUGCUUUUUUAUUAUUAUGAGGGAUAUAUUUGUAAGAAGAGACAACUAUCAAAUGUAAAUCUCUGGUGUUUAAUGUCAAGUUUGUGUCUUCUUAAAUACAUUCUAUUUGACCUGAGAUUUCACUAGUUAUAUUCAAUAAUG